rnacentral:rRNA from 1 species
GAUGAACGCUAGCGGCGUGCUUAACACAUGCAAGUCGAACGGUGAAGGCGGAGCUUGCUCUGCUGGAUCAGUGGCGAACGGGUGAGUAACACGUGAGCAAUCUGCCCCUGACUCUGGGAUAAGCGCUGGAAACGGCGUCUAAUACUGGAUACGAGCUGCGAAGGCAUCUUCAGCAGCUGGAAAGAAUUUCGGUCAGGGAUGAGCUCGCGGCCUAUCAGCUUGUUGGUGAGGUAAUGGCUCACCAAGGCGUCGACGGGUAGCCGGCCUGAGAGGGUGACCGGCCACACUGGGACUGAGACACGGCCCAGACUCCUACGGGAGGCAGCAGUGGGGAAUAUUGCACAAUGGGCGAAAGCCUGAUGCAGCAACGCCGCGUGAGGGACGACGGCCUUCGGGUUGUAAACCUCUUUUAGCAGGGAAGAAGCGAAAGUGACGGUACCUGCAGAAAAAGCGCCGGCUAACUACGUG